rnacentral:rRNA from 1 species
UAUUUUAUGAGUUUGAUCCUGGCUCAGAAUGAACGCUAAUAAUAUGCUUUAUACAUGCAAGUCGAACGAAAUUUUAUUUCGUGGCGUACGGGUGAGUAGUGAUGCAGAAUGUUACCUUUUAGUUGAGAACAAAAAUGCUUUUAAGCAUAAAAUUCUUAGAUAUUUAAUAAAAGUCAAAAUAGUUUACUAUUUUGUCUGCUAAAAGAUAGGUCUGCGUAAGAUUAGGUUGUUGGUUAUCGUAAUAGUUUACCAAGCCUACGAUCUUUAGUUGAUCUUAGAGGAUGAACAACCACACUGGAACUGAAAUAAGGUCCAGGCUGAUUUUUCGGCCAGCAGUAAGGAAUAUUGGACAAUGAACGAAAGUUUGAUCCAGCAAUAUUAUAAUGAAUUAUGACGAUUGCUAUAUGCAGUUGCAAGAUUCUUUCGUUAAAAAUGAUAAUGACGUUAUUUAACGAAUAAGUCCCGGCUAAUAUUCGUGCCAGCAGCCGCGGUAAAACGAAGGGGGCGAGCGUUAUUCAUCAUGACUGGGCGUAAAGAGUUCGUAGACUGCAAAGUAAGUUUUGUGUUAAAGAUUGAAGCUCAACUUUUAAAAAGCACAAAGUUACUGCUUUGCUCGAGUUUUAUACAGGAGAAUAUAAUUUUAUUUGGAAGGGUAAAAUCUAAUUAUAAAUAAAGGAAUGUCGGUGGCGAAGGCGAUUCUCUAGUAAAAACUGACGUUGAGGAACGAAAGUGUAGGUAGCAAACAGGAUUAGAGACCCUGGUAGUCUACACUGUAAAUCAUGAAUGCUGUAAUUUAACGAAAAAUCUUUAGUAGAUUUUUUUUAGAUUUUUAAGCUAACGCUAUAAGCAUUCCGCCUGAGGAGUACGAUCGCAAGGUUGGAACUCAAAGGAAUUGACGGGGGCCUAACACUAGUGGUGGGGUAUGUGGUUUAAUGCGAUAAUCCGCGCAAAAUCUUACCAGUCUUUGACAUAAAAAAUUUUUUUUCAUUUUGUUUUUAAAAUGAAAAACAAAUUUUUAUACAGGUGUUGCACGACUGUCAUCAGCUCGUGUCGUGAGAUUUUUGGUUAAGUCCUUUAACGAGCGCAACUCUUUCCUUUAAAAUUUUUAAUUUUCGGUUUUUAAAAGUCAAUUGAUUUUUUAAAAGUGUUUUAAAGGUACUGUCAGUGAUAAACUGAAAGAAGGAGAGAACUAAGCCAAGUCAAUGUGACCCUUAUAGAUUUGGGCUACACACGUGCUACAAUGAAAACUACAGAAAGUUACUAUCAAUUUUUUAGUUAAUCUUUAAAAGUUUUCCCAGUUCGGAUUGCAAACUGAAACUCGUAUGCAUGAAGUUGGAAUCACUAGUAAUCGCGAAUCAGCAUGUCGCGGUGAACAUGUAAAUUGGCCUUGUACACACCGCCCGUCACAUGCAGAAAGUUAGUUUCACUUGAAGGUUUGGCUAAAAUAUUGUUGAGUCUAUUGAGAAAUUGAUAAUUUGGAUGAAGUCGUAACAAGGUAGUGGUACGGGAACGUGUCGCUGGAAUGUUUAUAA